GCCCCAGUAAACGGCGGCCGUAACUAUAACGGUCCUAAGGUAGCGAAAUUCCUUGUCGGGUAAGUUCCGACCCGCACGAAAGGCGUAACGAUUUGGGCACUGUCUCAACAACAGACUCGGUGAAAUUGUAAUUCCGGUGAAGAUGCCGGAUACCUGCGACAGGACGGAAAGACCCCAUGGAGCUUUACUGUAGCUUGACAUUGGGUCUUGGUACUACAUGUACAGGAUAGGUGGGAGGCUUUGAAACCAGGACGCCAGUUUUGGCGGAGCCAUCCUUGGGAUACCACCCUUGUAGUACUGGGACUCUAACCAUAGGCCAUGAAUCUGGUCUUGGGACACUGUCAGGUGGGCAGUUUGACUGGGGCGGUCGCCUCCCAAAAGGUAACGGAGGCGCUCAAAGGUUCUCUCAGUACGGUCGGAAAUCGUACGUAGAGUGUAAAGGCAAAAGAGAGCUUGAUUGCAAGACAUACAGGUCGAGCAAGGAUGAAAAUCGGACUUAGUGAUCCGGUGGUUCUGCGUGGAAGGGCCAUCGCUCAACGGAUAAAAGCUACCCUGGGGAUAACAGGCUUAUCUCCCCCAAGAGUCCACAUCGACGGGGAGGUUUGGCACCUCGAUGUCGGCUCAUCACAUCCUGGGGCUGUAGUAGGUCCCAAGGGUUGGGCUGUUCGCCCAUUAAAGUGGUACGCGAGCUGGGUUCAGAACGUCGUGAGACAGUUCGGUCCCUAUCCGUCGCAGGCGUAGGAAAUUUGAGAAGACCUGUCCUUAGUACGAGAGGACCGGGAUGGACG
rnacentral:rRNA from 1 species